AGGUGGUUGCAGUGAUUAAUUGAUUUUAGCAAGAUCUCCCUGGCUGCUGCUGGCGUAUAAAUCAAAUUCUUGCUUUGUAGGUUGAACUACUGCUUUGGUUCUGAUUGCUCAGUAUGGCCAAAUGAAAGAAGAGGUGAUUGUGAAAUAAGGUGAUGUCUCAUGGGUGUGCCCUGGAGUUCGUGGCAGUGGUCAGAUUAACAUAUUUGCUCUGGUUUUAAGCUACUGUAACAAACCAUGGCUUUUAAUACAACUAAGGAAUGGAUCAAGGUCUGCAAGCAUCUGUGCAAGCACAGACCCUUCAGAGUUACUGGCUUCAGCUCCUUCAUAACAUCCUUACAUGUGUUAGUGGUGUUUUGACCGAACCAUGCUGGUGCACACCGAAUUGGAGAGUCAGGUUAAAAAAAAACCCAAAGAACACAUGAACAAACAAAAUCCAACUCAAAUAAAUGACUUUUCUUGAGAAGCUUUAUUUUGUGU
ensembl:lncRNA